rnacentral:rRNA from 1 species
UACGUAGGCAGCGAGCGUUGUUCGGAGUUACUGGGCGUAAAGGGUGUGUAGGCGGUCCUGCAAGUCAGGCGUGAAAUCCCCGGGCUUAACCUGGGAAUGGCACUUGAAACUACGGGACUGGAGUAUGGCAGAGGGAGGUGGAAUUCCACGUGUAGCGGUGAAAUGCGUAGAGAUGUGGAGGAACACCGAUGGCGAAGGCAGCCUCCUGGGCCAAUACUGACGCUCAUGCACGAAAGCGUGGGGAGCAAACAGG